UACGUAGGGUGCGAGCGUUAAUCGGAAUUACUGGGCGUAAAGUGUGCGCAGGCGGCCGAGCAAGUCGAGUGUGAAAGCCCCGAGCUUAACUUGGGAACUGCGCUCGAAACUAGUUGGCUAGAGUGUGGCAGAGGGAGGUGGAAUUCCACGUGUAGCGGUGAAAUGCGUAGAGAUGUGGAGGAACACCGAUGGCGAAGGCAGCCUCCUGGGCCAACACUGACGCUCAUGCACGAAAGCGUGGGGAGCAAACAGG
rnacentral:rRNA from 1 species